rnacentral:lncRNA from 1 species
UAUUUAUUUAUUUUAAAAAUUAUUAUUUAGAGAGAGAGCAUGCACAUGUGUGAGCUGGGGGAGGGGGCUCAGAGCACAUGGAAAGGGGAGAGAGAAUCCCAAGCAGACUCCCCACCAAGCUCAGAGCCAGACAUGGCGCUCCAUCCAUUGCCUGGAGAUCAUAACCUGAGCCUAAAUCAAGAGUCGGAUGCCUAACCAACUGAGCCACCCAGGCAGCCCAGAUUCAUAGGGCUGUACUUUGAAUUUUAAAAAAAUCAAGGCAGAGUGAAGAAUGCCGGGUAAGCUUAUCAGAGGUUACAGAUACAAAAAAAAUAUUAUUUUGGUCAUCAACCGGCAAUAUCUACUUCUAGAGCAUUCUGUGCUUUAUGCAUUUUAUCUGACAGCAGCCCUCUGAGAUGAGAAAAUUGAAGCUCUCAGCAUCUACUUGAAGUCUGCAAGGUAUUACAAGUCCUGAGUGGUGGGGCCCAGCCUUGAGCCCAAGACCAACCAGCUCUCAAGUUCUGGCCCUUUAUUGUAAAGUGCUCCUGGCCAAUGCCGUAUUAUAAUCGUCUACUUUUUUGCUUAGCUCCAUCAUUGGUUGUUAGCACCUCUAGGGGAUGAACUGCAUGUCAUUAUCCUUAUAUCCCAGGACAAACCACAUGAUUUGACUCAAAAAUAUUUGCUGGAUGAAUGAAUGAGUGAAUAGACCAGAUAAAAUGGCACCUAGAAGAAACUUGAUUCUUAAGCAUGCCCAUGAACAGUGUGGUCAUGAAUGGAAAAAUAAAAAAAUAGUAUAUUUUAUAUUAUGUGUAACAUUUCCUGUAGGGGCUUUAUCUAUCUGUAAAGUUUCUCAUAGCUCUCUGAAGAUCUCCCUGGCCUUCAUCCAAAGCAAUCAUGUCUUCUAAACUUUGUUAAUAAGUCUAUCAUAACAGGAAGAGGCUAGAAAGAACAAUAGGCCUGAAAGGUUCCUCUUAGAUAAGCAUCAGUUUCUUGAUUGGUGAAAUGGUGAUAAUUCCUCAAAUUGGCACUUAUUAUUUAAUAUCUAUCAAGUGGUUUCUGUGUGACACACAUGUAUGUGCACAGUCCUAAAGCCAAAGGGAGAAACAGGAAAAAGUUCAGUUCUCAUGGAUUCUAUAACGGAGUGUGGGGGACAGACAUGGAAACAAGUAUAUACAACAUAGUGUAGAAGAUUCCACAAGGAGGGACACAUAGAAGAAAAUGGCUGGGCUCAGCCCAGGGGUGUUAAAAAGAAGCUGUUCAAUGUACUAGCUAAGAGCAAGGACUCUGGACUCAAAGGCUUGAGUUCAAAUCCUGGCUUGACCAUGCUUUGCCUCUGUAAUGUUGGGCAAUUUACUUAAUCCAUCUAUCACUUCCCAUCUCCUUGUCUAUAAAAUGGGAAUACUAUUAGUUCUAACUUCGUAAGUUUGUUCUGAACAUGAAAAUGGCAUAUAACAUCUACAGUACUGAACUCUGUGCUCAACACAUAGUAAACACCUGAUGAAGGCUUCAUAGAAGAAGCAGUGUCUUGGACAGUUGGACUUUGUUGGGGGAAUGGACAAGUACUUCACAGAAAAGGCCUUCCAGGUACAACAAACUGAAUGCCCAAUGGUUAAGAGGGGUGAGAUUUUCUGUAUUUUUAUUUUACAACCUACUGUAAAAAAUACACCUUACAUUACAAAUUGGUACCCCUCCACACACACAUCACUAAAACCAAAGUUUAAUAAAACAAUGCUUACUGUGUGCAACGUACGUUGAUUCAUUCCAUUCCAUUCUAAUUUUUUUUUAAUGGUGAUUGAAGUCCUUUAAAUUGAUUUUGUGACCUCUUAGUGGGUUAAGACCCACCAUUUGGAAAACACUUAUUUAGAAUAGGGUUAAGUAUGGCAGUUUUACAAAACAGUAGUGCUGGGCAUAAAAGGAACAAAGUCUAAUUAUGCCACACGCUGUGCUUGGUCCUGGGCCUUAAUAUAAUAAAUGAGAGCAUUUAGAGAGGAGGCUGAAAAGGAAGUCAGGGUCCUUAUCCUGCAGACCUGCAUAAACCAUGUUACAUGGGCCCGACUUGACCUGCAGGCACUGAGGAACCACUGGGGAAUUGUGCCAUGCUAGGUGUGGAGGGUCUGUGUGGUCACUCUGGGGGUGGCAUGCAGGAUGGCUCCACAAUGGCAGGACUGGAAUGAUGUCACCAGGUUAUGCUUUGAUGAAAGCUCUGAAUAACUGCUAGAUUCUAUGAUGAUACACUUACAGUACAUUCCAUACCUCAUCCUAAAAUUUGGUGCCUGCCCCAGGAUGUUAGACUCCCUAUCCUUUUGAUAGUUGUACAAAGAUGUGGCUGAGAAAGCGUAGGGUCUCAGGGCUGCUUUAGCAGAUUUUCUUUCUAAGAGUAAGUGCAUUCGGUAGGUACACUAUUAGACAAGCUAGUCAUGAUGCAUUUUAUUUUCAGUAAGUGAUUUGAAAAUAUUAGGCACCCGAUCUGAACUCAAACCCAUGGGAAAUAAUUUUUUUAUCAAUAGAAAUAUAAUGCAUUUCCUGAAAUAGUGUGAAAUUUGGGUGGCUAUCACAGGCUACAUUUAAAAAAUUCUUCUGUUAAUAUUUGGUGUCAGAGACAAUUUGCAAGCAGAGUUUUUGGCAAACUAAGACUUAAUGGGGGAUCCCUGGGUGGCGCAGCGGUUUGGCGCCUGCCUUUGGCCCAGGGCGCGAUCCUGGAGACCCGGGAUCGAAUCCCAUGUCGGGCUCCUGGUGCAUGGAACCUGCUUCUCCCUCUGCCUGUGUCUCUGCCUCUCUCUCUCUCUCUCUCUCUGUGACUAUCAUAAAUAAAUAAAAAUUAAAAAAAUUAAAAAAAAUAAGACUUAAUGGUUAGAGAAAGUAACAUUUAAUGAGUGCUCACAGUAUGUAAGUGCUUUUAUACAUGUUAUGAUAGAAGCUCUCAUAGGCAAUCUUCAUUUAGGCAAAUUCUUAGGUUAACAGGGUUCUCAUUCUUUCGAUGAAUGUAUUGACUAGUAUCUAUAACUUUAAAGAACAUGAAUGGCUAGCAGACUUUUCUUUAGAAAACUUGUAUACUUCUGUUCACAUGAGCAGAACUAUAUGCUCACCAUAUAUUUGUUUAUUCAAAUUGUACUUGUUAUUUUUAUGCUGCAAUCUACUAAGUAACAUGUACAUAGAUGCAAUAAAUUCCCCCCAAAACAGAUUUCUUUUUAUGAAAUCUAAGUUGAAUACUUUGGAAAGACUUGAUAAAAUAAAUGAACUGCCUAAUAAAACAUUGAAUUUAGUUGGACUAGGGUAACUAUAAAGGACAGAAGAAAGUGGUAAAAAAAAUUUAAAGUGCUUUUACACACUCAUUUUACUUUAAAGAAACUGACACUGAAAAUCAUUUUUUUAAAAAUGCUUUAUGUGGAUGUUUAAAUGCCCAGGUUCUGGCCAGUGGGCCUUAUUCUCCCAGAAAAGACCUUGGCUCUACAUCAGACGGUUGCUAAAUAAAAGAAUUGUUAUAUUUAAUUUGAAAUAAGCUAUUUAAUGUCUCUAUAGAUUGACCCAGGGAGAACCUGUAUUGCUUUUUAUGAUCUAACUUCCUGAGUCACAUAGCGUCCUUUCCAUAAUAACCCACUGAUCAGGGUAUUUACAGAUGUGCACCCAGAUUCAAGAAGAAGGAACGUGGGCCCUGCCUCAAAUGGAAAGAUGUCAGUGUUACAUUGUAAGAUCAUAUGGGAUGGGAGAUAUUUUGGCCAUUUUUGGAAAAUACUAUCUUUAUAGCUGCUUUAAUUUACUACUAUUCUUUUUCAAAUAACUAAUGAUUCUGAUGUCAUUAGAUAAAAAGAAUUUCAUUAUAAUUAGUGUAAUUCUUACAACAGAUCUCCUGGAUAGGUAUCAUAGUAGCCAUUCUGGGGAUCCAGAAGCUUGAGGCUCAGGGAAGCUCAGUGAUUAAAGCCUGCCCUCUUUCCAUUAAAACUUUCUGCCUUUCUUCUUGUGAUAGGGAUUUAGGACUUAUGCUUUCUAAUUAUGUCCAUCCUAAGACCUAAAAUCCAGUACAACCCAUUGGAACAUCAAGACCCAGUGAUGGACCACACAAAGUGGAGUGAUUUUAGCUUCACUACAUACAAUAGUCUAGCUGCCACCAAGACUAGUGGUUUCCAAACUUUGUUGCACAUUAGGUUUCCUGAAAAAAUCCUGAUACCCAGGUUGGAUCCCAUGCCAAUUAAAUCACAGUGUCUGAGGUGGAAGCCAGGCAGUAGUAAUUUUUAAAGGGCCCCAGAUGGUCCCAAUGUGAAGCAAAGUGAAGCUAUGACAGCGAUUCUUCCUCAAUUGAAUCCUCCCAUCUCAGGUUUCUACUAAGUCUUGCCUCUCUGUCUCUGUCUCUGUCUCUGUCUCUCAUUCCUGCUAUUGUACUUGACCUCACUAAUUCUUCCCCAAACUGCUUAUCCCAAAGAUUUGCUCCAAGUCUUGGUUUUCUCAUCCACAAUAUAAGGAUGCUGCUGCUGAUGGUGAUGAUGAUGACAAUCUUACACUGCUAUGUUAUCAUAAGGAUUAAAAGAGAUAAUGUAGGAGGUACUCAAUAAGCUUGUUAAAAUAUUUGUUGAAUGAAUGAAAGAAUCUGAAUCAUUUCAUAGAUUUCUUUUAUGACCAAAGAAAUUAAGUCAACAUGAAUCUGGUUUCAGGUAUUAAACACAGAUUAAAUAUUCAUUUUUAGGACACAUUUGUUUUAAAUUUAACACAUGGGUUCAUGAAUAACACUAUAAAGAACCCAUUCCCUAAAAUAUUAAUAUAAAUAUCUAUGCACGAGGGGAAAAUAAUUGGGGAAUUUUAUCUCCUCUGACAAAGGGGAAAAAAGGCCAUUUAAAAAUAUUACUUUCUCUCCCUCAGACGGAGAGUGGAGGUAAGCCAUAAGAAAUCCAAGUUCACAUGAAAGAGCCAUGAUAAAAAAUGCAGGUGGUGUGAAACAUUUAUAAGGGCCGAGUGUUAGGUGGUAUGUAGGCUUGAAUUUGAAAUGACAUUUUGGCAUAAAACAGAUCUCCCACAGGCAGAUUUGAAACUUCCAGAAAAGUCUUAAAAUGACAUCUUUCAAAAUGAACAAUCAUCAAAUAUGCCCAAGUCAUUACCUCAAAGUACUUUGCUAAUGAGACAGGCUGAAGAAAUGGCUAAAAAUAAUUGACCCCAGUUUUACAGCUGAAAGUUGUAAAAAAAAGAAAAAGAACUAUUGCAGGGUACGAACGUAGAAUUAGGCAACUGGCAACUGUUUAGCAUAUUAAAUACAAACAUUAGGACAUGUCUCACUCAGCACAGAACAAUUGCCAAUAGCUUUUUAUGCACAAAUUUCAAAUUGCUUCACAAAUUACUUGGUGUCAUAUUUUCUCCUGUAACUUUUAUUCCGCUUGUACAGUGCUGGUCUAAAAAAGAGACAUGCAUGCCAAUAUCUAAUGAGGCAUUUGCUUCAUUUCCUCGUUAGACCCUUGCACAAUGCUAUAAAUCAGGCAAGGUAGGAUUUAUUGUUCCCAUUUUGUAGAUAAAGACAUUGAGGUCCAAAGAGGUUAAUAAUUUGUUCGUGUGUACAUAGUCUUUUAAAGACACUGCACCAUCUUAUUUAACGCAGACCACAUGCACAGUGGGUACUUGUGUAAGAGUUUUUCAGGAAGGAAAUCAAGAUAGAAAGAAAAAAAUAUGUCUAUUAAGCACACGUUAUGUGAAAUAUUGGACACAAUGUGGAGAAUUGCAUAAAGAGUUGAAUAUAAAUUGGAUGCACCUAAUAAUCUCAACUUAAAAAUUUGCAUAAGAAAAAGAUGGGAAUAAAAUAUACCAAAAUGUCUACUUCUUUUUUUAUUCCUUUAUUUCUGAAUUUUCUGUCAUAAACAUGUAUUAUUUUUAUGACUGGAAAGAAUAAUCAAUUCAUUAAUUCAACUUUUCUAUUGAGUGCUAUAUACCAGGCAUUGUUCUAGACACUGUGUUUUGGCAGUGGAGACAAUGGAGGAAAUCCCAGCCUGUAUAAAGUAUAUAUUCUAGAAGUGGAGUGGGAAAAUCAAUCAAAUAUAUUUUAUAUGGUGACACAUGCUAUUGUGACCUGAAGAACAAGAUGCCACAAAUGCACAAGAUGGGAGUAGGGGUGCAGUGGGCACAUCUGAGCAUCAGUGUAAAGGGUGUGAAGAAGCACACUCUUCAAGACCUCAGCAAGAACUGUUUCUGGGCAGGAAACACUAGGAUACAACCCUGAGGUAGGAGCAAGUUUCAAGUGUUGGAAGAAUAGCCUAAAGGUCAGUGACCCAGAGCAGAGCAAGAGAGAAGGGCUACAGUGCAAAUUAAUAAUCCAGGGCUGGAUCCUGCUGGGCCUCGGGAGCUGUGUCAGUAGUCUGGACUUUAUUUAUUUAUUUAUUUAUUUAUUUAUUUAUUUAUUUAUUUAUUCACGAGAGUCACACACACAGAGAGAGAGAGAGAGAGAGGCAGAGACAGAGGCAGAGGGAGAAGUAGGCUCCAUGCAGGGAGCCCGAUGGGGGGCUCGAUCCUGGAUCUCCAGGAUCACACCCUGGGCGGAAAGUAGGCGCUAAACCGCUGAGCCACCCAGGGAUCCCCAGACUUUAUUUAUUUAAAUGUGAUGAGUACCAUCGGAGUUUUCUGAAUAUGUAUUUUGGGGGCUGGGAAUUGUGAAUGAUCUGAUUUGCAUGUUAUAAAUAUCCCUCUGGCUGCUCCGUAGGAGGCAGCUUAUAGGGGGCAGGAGAAGAAUCAAGGAGGCCAGGGAGCAGCUGAUGGCAAUUGUCCAAAUGGUCCAGUCCAAACAAGAAAAGACAAUGGCUUGCUUAGUGCAGUACACCUAGAGACGGUGAGAAAUAAUUUGAGGCGAGAUUGUUUUGUUUGGCGUGAGUUCAAAUGCUGCUGCCGUUUGCUAGGAUGGGAAGAUUAGGGAAGGAGUAUGCUUGGGAUAAUGUUGAAGAGUUCUAUUUAGGACACUUUAAACUAUCAAGUGGAGAUGCAACGUAGGCAGUCUGGAGCUGAGGGGAGAGGUCAAAGUGGGAGACAUAUAUAUGGGAGUCACGGUCAUAUAAAUGGCAUUUCAAGCCAAGUGGCUGGUGAAGAGUCCCCAGGGAGAGAGCAGAUGGAGAUGAGGGCUCAGAACUGAACCCUGAACUUCCAUAGCAUUUAAAAUCUCAAAAGGAAGAGCCAGCAGCCAGCAGAGGAGACAGUACAUGAACAGCCAUGAGACAGGGGGUAGCAGGAAACUUAUCCUGUGGGUUUCUUUGAGAAUGAGAGAGAAGGAGAGAAUUGGCUCUAGGGGUUAGUGUCAUGUGUGUAACUGUCUGAACGAUGCCAGUACACAAAUCGUCUCAAACAUUUCUCUUUUAUAUAUUUUCUAGAUAAUCAUGAGAAGAGUAUAAGGGAGGGGGCAUUGAUUGCUGAGGCCGGGAGACUGAACUUGGUAUAAAGUCCUGACACUGCCUCUUACAGCUUCUGUCAACUUGAAUGCAUCAAACACCAUGGCUAACUUGGCCUUCUCAUCUAUAAGACAGUGAUAACAGAAGCCAACCUGGAAACCCGUAGGCUCAGCAGAGCAUCCCUGGUCCGGGCUACUGGUCUGAAAUAGGCUGCUUCCAGGUCUGACUCUGCUUCUAGGUGGUGAGCAAGAAUGCCUGCUGAUAGAUGUUGGCUUCCAGAUGUGUAGGGCAAGGCCUGGUGCAUGGGAGAGAGCAGGAGUGAAGAUCUUGCUCGUUGUAGUCACACCUGCAGAGUGGGGGACCUCCACAUUUUUACUGGCAGGGUAACUCUGGUUGCAUUACUUCCCCUCUCUGAUCCUUAAAUUUCCUGAUGAUUAAAUGGGAACUGACACCAGUGUCAGAAUGUUCUGAGGAUGAACAAAGGAGAUACUCUCUAAAGUGCUCUGCAGAAUGCUUGGCAUUGGCUAGUGGGGAAGACAUUAUUGGAAUUCGUGUUGCAUAAUCGUCUGCAGUGCACUGACCACCUUUCCCCUCCUGCUCUGAGCCCCAGGAGGAUGCUAUGAUUAGAACCACAGAGUCAGGUAAACCUGAAUUCAAACCUUCGCAUCUCUGCUUAUCAGCUGACUUCCACACACUAUGUAUGACUUUAAACAGCAGCCUAAGCCUUAGUUUCCUCCUUUGUACAAAGGGGAUAGUGACCCCAAACUCAAUGGGCUGUUGGUAGGAUAACCAUAAAAGUGUGUUUACUCACUUAGCACUAGUGUACUGUGUGUACUCAGUAAAUCCUCAUGGCUGUCGUCAUCACCGUGAUGCACCAGAAAGCCAUUUGUAAGCUGUAAAGGACUAUAUAUCCACAAGAGAUGUUUUCCAUUGUUAUUCAUGGGAAGGUUUGUUGCUGCUGGGAUAUAAGGCUGCCCCGCACUGAAGCUGGCUGCAUUUCUCCUUUCAUUCCUUUACAGGACCUGUGAUUAUUGUCCCUCUAAGAUUUGGCCCUAGAUCACCCCCUCCAGGAAGCCUUCCUUAAUUAAUCGCACUUUUUCUACUCUUUUAUUCUCCAAACACUCCAUCUUUAGGAGUAAAUUCAGAUGUACAAAACAGAUGAAUUAGGGUUAAUUAGUUGUAGCACCAGAGGAUUCCUCAAGAUAGCUUUAAAUCAUACAAUCCCAAAGCACAGUCCAACCACAAGCAAUUUACAAACAUUUGAUUAACGCUGAGGGGCACUGGGAUGUUGCUAUUGCCCAAAUUGAAGUCCAGAUUUGGUCUGGGCUAUUUAGUGCAUGUGUGUUAAACAUGCUUUAGUGCAUGUGUGUUAAACAUGCUUUAGUGCAUGUGUGUUAAACAUGCUUUGCUAGUCUUCAGAGUUGGCUUUGCCUAGUCUAAGAUUUAAUGUUAAAUUCCCAAUGGAGGGAUGCUAACUUUAAUUUCCAUUAUUUUCGGGGAGGACAUACCCCCAAAGGGCUGUCAUAGGUGGGACUCAGGGGCAAGUAGACUGUCGAGCUGAUUUUUGACAAGCAAAAUCAUUCAUGCCUGUUGUAACUGACUUAAGUGCCUCAUUGUGAUGGGAAGUGUGAACUUUCUGGAAUGGUAAUCAACUGCAUACCAAAAGUGGGGGCCUGAGGGGAAUUUUACUCACAGAAGCAAGGGAUUGGGAACUAAAUACUAAGAUAAUAGUUUUAGAUUUUUCCCCUUAAUUUAUUUCUUUGUUACUCUCCUGAUCAAUUAUGAUAAAACUGUUAACGGUAAACCAGUGGGAUCACUUCAGGUAUAACAAUGAAGAAGAUGCAGAGAAAGUUCCUACUCCUCGGGAGGCUUGGACGAGGAAGAGCUCAGGGGACAGAGACAGCAUCCCUUCCUGGAACAGAAUGUAAGAAAAGAUGUAGGCUCACCAUUUGCUUCGAUGUGGAUGGAACUGGAGGGUAUUAUUCUGAGUGAAGUAAGUCAGUUGGAGAAGGACAACCAUCAUAUGGUUUCACUCAUACAGGAAAUAUAAAAAAUAGUGAAAGGAAUCAUAGGGGAAAGGAGAGAAAAUGAGUGGGGAAAAUCAGAGGAGACAGAACAUGAGAGACUCCUAACUCUGGGAAACGGACAAGGUGUAGUGGAAGGGGAGGUGGGGGGAACAGGGUCACCGGGUGACGGGCACUGAGGGGGCACUUGAUGGGAUGGGCACUGGGUGUUAUACUCUAUUGAACUCCAAUAAAUAUAUAAAUAAAUCCAAUAAAUAAAUAAAUAAAACUCCAAUAAACUCCAAAAAAUACACACAAAAAAAUAAAUUUAAUUUUAAAAAACAAACAAAAAAACCCCACAAAAAAAAAAAAAAAAAAAAAAA